CCUACGGGUGGCAGCAGUGAGGAAUAUUGGUCAAUGGACGAGAGUCUGAACCAGCCAAGUAGCGUGAAGGAUGACUGCCCUAUGGGUUGUAAACUUCUUUUAUAUGGGAAUAAAAUGUUCCACGUGUGGCAUUUUGUAUGUACCAUAUGAAUAAGGAUCGGCUAACUCCGUGCCAGCAGCCGCGGUAAUACGGAGGAUCCGAGCGUUAUCCGGAUUUAUUGGGUUUAAAGGGAGCGUAGGUGGAUUGUUAAGUCAGUUGUGAAAGUUUGCGGCUCAACCGUAAAAUUGCAGUUGAAACUGGCAGUCUUGAGUGCAGUAGAGGUAGGCGGAAUUCGUGGUGUAGCGGUGAAAUGCUUAGAUAUCACGAAGAACUCCGAUUGCGAAGGCAGCUCACUGGACUGCAACUGACACUGAGGCUCGAAAGUGUGGGUAUCAAACAGGAUUAGAUACCCUAGUAGUC
rnacentral:rRNA from 1 species